rnacentral:tRNA from 1 species
GAGGCUCUAGCUCAGUGGUAGAGCACCUGCCUUGCAUGUGUGAGGCAUUGAGUUCUACUAAAUCUUUUUUUUUUUUACACAAUAUCUUUAUUUAUUUAUUUUUAUGUGUUGCUGAGGAUCAAACCCAGUGCCUCA